rnacentral:rRNA from 1 species
UACGGGGGGGGCAAGCGUUGUUCGGAAUUACUGGGCGUAAAGGGCGCGUAGGCGGUUUAUUAAGUUGGAUGUGAAAACUCUGGGCUUAACUCAGAGCCUGCAUUCGAAACUGAUAGGCUGGAGUUCUGGAGGGGAUAGCGGAAUUCCUGGUGUAGCGGUGAAAUGCGUAGAUAUCAGGAGGAACACCGGUGGCGAAGGCGGCUAUCUGGACAGAAACUGACGCUGAGGCGCGAAAGCUAGGGGAGCAAACAGG